GGGUUGUGAGGUUAAGCGACUAAGCGUACACGGUGGAUGCCCUGGCAGUCAGAGGCGAUGAAGGACGUGCUAAUCUGCGAUAAGCGUCGGUAAGGUGAUAUGAACCGUUAUAACCGGCGAUUUCCGAAUGGGGAAACCCAGUGUGAUUCGUCACACUAUCAUUAACUGAAUCCAUAGGUUAAUGAGGCGAACCGGGGGAACUGAAACAUCUAAGUACCCCGAGGAAAAGAAAUCAACCGAGAUUCCCCCAGUAGCGGCGAGCGAACGGGGAGGAGCCCAGAGCCUGAAUCAGUGUGUGUGUUAGUGGAAGCGUCUGGAAAGGCGCGCGAUACAGGGUGACAGCCCCGUACACAAAAAUGCACAUGCUGUGAGCUCGAUGAGUAGGGCGGGACACGUGGUAUCCUGUCUGAAUAUGGGGGGACCAUCCUCCAAGGCUAAAUACUCCUGACUGACCGAUAGUGAACCAGUACCGUGAGGGAAAGGCGAAAAGAACCCCGGCGAGGGGAGUGAAAAAGAACCUGAAACCGUGUACGUACAAGCAGUGGGAGCCUCUUUUAUGGGGUGACUGCGUACCUUUUGUAUAAUGGGUCAGCGACUUAUAUUCUGUAGCAAGGUUAACCGAAUAGGGGAGCCGAAGGGAAACCGAGUCUUAACCGGGCGUUAAGUUGCAGGGUAUAGACCCGAAACCCGGUGAUCUAGCCAUGGGCAGGUUGAAGGUUGGGUAACACUAACUGGAGGACCGAACCGACUAAUGUUGAAAAAUUAGCGGAUGACUUGUGGCUGGGGGUGAAAGGCCAAUCAAACCGGGAGAUAGCUGGUUCUCCCCGAAAGCUAUUUAGGUAGCGCCUCGUGAAUUCAUCUCCGGGGGUAGAGCACUGUUUCGGCAAGGGGGUCAUCCCGACUUACCAACCCGAUGCAAACUGCGAAUACCGGAGAAUGUUAUCACGGGAGACACACGGCGGGUGCUAACGUCCGUCGUGAAGAGGGAAACAACCCAGACCGCCAGCUAAGGUCCCAAAGUCAUGGUUAAGUGGGAAACGAUGUGGGAAGGCCCAGACAGCCAGGAUGUUGGCUUAGAAGCAGCCAUCAUUUAAAGAAAGCGUAAUAGCUCACUGGUCGAGUCGGCCUGCGCGGAAGAUGUAACGGGGCUAAACCAUGCACCGAAGCUGCGGCAGCGACACUGUGUGUUGUUGGGUAGGGGAGCGUUCUGUAAGCCUGUGAAGGUGUACUGUGAGGUAUGCUGGAGGUAUCAGAAGUGCGAAUGCUGACAUAAGUAACGAUAAAGCGGGUGAAAAGCCCGCUCGCCGGAAGACCAAGGGUUCCUGUCCAACGUUAAUCGGGGCAGGGUGAGUCGACCCCUAAGGCGAGGCCGAAAGGCGUAGUCGAUGGGAAACAGGUUAAUAUUCCUGUACUUGGUGUUACUGCGAAGGGGGGACGGAGAAGGCUAUGUUGGCCGGGCGACGGUUGUCCCGGUUUAAGCGUGUAGGCUGGUUUUCCAGGCAAAUCCGGAAAAUCAAGGCUGAGGCGUGAUGACGAGGCACUACGGUGCUGAAGCAACAAAUGCCCUGCUUCCAGGAAAAGCCUCUAAGCAUCAGGUAACAUCAAAUCGUACCCCAAACCGACACAGGUGGUCAGGUAGAGAAUACCAAGGCGCUUGAGAGAACUCGGGUGAAGGAACUAGGCAAAAUGGUGCCGUAACUUCGGGAGAAGGCACGCUGAUAUGUAGGUGAAGUCCCUCGCGGAUGGAGCUGAAAUCAGUCGAAGAUACCAGCUGGCUGCAACUGUUUAUUAAAAACACAGCACUGUGCAAACACGAAAGUGGACGUAUACGGUGUGACGCCUGCCCGGUGCCGGAAGGUUAAUUGAUGGGGUCAGCGCAAGCGAAGCUCUUGAUCGAAGCCCCGGUAAACGGCGGCCGUAACUAUAACGGUCCUAAGGUAGCGAAAUUCCUUGUCGGGUAAGUUCCGACCUGCACGAAUGGCGUAAUGAUGGCCAGGCUGUCUCCACCCGAGACUCAGUGAAAUUGAACUCGCUGUGAAGAUGCAGUGUACCCGCGGCAAGACGGAAAGACCCCGUGAACCUUUACUAUAGCUUGACACUGAACAUUGAGCCUUGAUGUGUAGGAUAGGUGGGAGGCUUUGAAGUGUGGACGCCAGUCUGCAUGGAGCCGACCUUGAAAUACCACCCUUUAAUGUUUGAUGUUCUAACGUGGACCCGUGAUCCGGGUUGCGGACAGUGUCUGGUGGGUAGUUUGACUGGGGCGGUCUCCUCCUAAAGAGUAACGGAGGAGCACGAAGGUUGGCUAAUCCUGGUCGGACAUCAGGAGGUUAGUGCAAUGGCAUAAGCCAGCUUGACUGCGAGCGUGACGGCGCGAGCAGGUGCGAAAGCAGGUCAUAGUGAUCCGGUGGUUCUGAAUGGAAGGGCCAUCGCUCAACGGAUAAAAGGUACUCCGGGGAUAACAGGCUGAUACCGCCCAAGAGUUCAUAUCGACGGCGGUGUUUGGCACCUCGAUGUCGGCUCAUCACAUCCUGGGGCUGAAGUAGGUCCCAAGGGUAUGGCUGUUCGCCAUUUAAAGUGGUACGCGAGCUGGGUUUAGAACGUCGUGAGACAGUUCGGUCCCUAUCUGCCGUGGGCGCUGGAGAACUGAGGGGGGCUGCUCCUAGUACGAGAGGACCGGAGUGGACGCAUCACUGGUGUUCGGGUUGUCAUGCCAAUGGCACUGCCCGGUAGCUAAAUGCGGAAGAGAUAAGUGCUGAAAGCAUCUAAGCACGAAACUUGCCCCGAGAUGAGUUCUCCCUGACCCUUUAAGGGUCCUGAAGGAACGUUGAAGACGACGACGUUGAUAGGCCGGGUGUGUAAGCGCAGCGAUGCGUUGAGCUAACCGGUACUAAUGAACCGUGAGGCUUAACCUUACAACGCCGAAGGUGUUU
rnacentral:rRNA from 1 species